rnacentral:tRNA from 2 species
GGGCGGUUAGCUCAGGUGGCUAGAGCGCGUCGUUGACAUCGACGAGGUCACAGGUUCAAGUCCUGUACCGCCCACCA